rnacentral:rRNA from 1 species
GAUGAACGCUGGCGGCGUGCCUAAUACAUGCGAGUCGAGCGAACAGACAAGGAGCUUGCUCCUUUGACGUUAGCGGCGGACGGGUGAGUAACACGUGGGUAACCUACCUAUAAGACUGGGAUAACUUCGGGAAACCGGAGCUAAUACCGGAUAAUAUUUCGAACCGCAUGGUUCGAUAGUGAAAGAUGGUUUUGCUAUCACUUAUAGAUGGACCCGCGCCGUAUUAGCUAGUUGGUAAGGUAACGGCUUACCAAGGCGACGAUACGUAGCCGACCUGAGAGGGUGAUCGGCCACACUGGAACUGAGACACGGUCCAGACUCCUACGGGAGGCAGCAGUAGGGAAUCUUCCGCAAUGGGCGAAAGCCUGACGGAGCAACGCCGCGUGAGUGAUGAAGGUCUUCGGAUCGUAAAACUCUGUUAUUAGGGAAGAACAUACGUGUAAGUAACUAUGCACGUCUUGACGGUACCUAAUCAGAAAGCCACGGCUAACUACGUGCCAGCAGCCGCGGUAAUACGUAGGUGGCAAGCGUUAUCCGGAAUUAUUGGGCGUAAAGCGCGCGUAGGCGGUUUUUUAAGUCUGAUGUGAAAGCCCACGGCUCAACCGUGGAGGGUCAUUGGAAACUGGAAAACUUGAGUGCAGAAGAGGAAAGUGGAAUUCCAUGUGUAGCGGUGAAAUGCGCAGAGAUAUGGAGGAACACCAGUGGCGAAGGCGACUUUCUGGUCUGUAACUGACGCUGAUGUGCGAAAGCGUGGGGAUCAAACAGGAUUAGAUACCCUGGUAGUCCACGCCGUAAACGAUGAGUGCUAAGUGUUAGGGGGUUUCCGCCCCUUAGUGCUGCAGCUAACGCAUUAAGCACUCCGCCUGGGGAGUACGACCGCAAGGUUGAAACUCAAAGGAAUUGACGGGGACCCGCACAAGCGGUGGAGCAUGUGGUUUAAUUCGAAGCAACGCGAAGAACCUUACCAAAUCUUGACAUCCUUUGACAACUCUAGAGAUAGAGCCUUCCCCUUCGGGGGACAAAGUGACAGGUGGUGCAUGGUUGUCGUCAGCUCGUGUCGUGAGAUGUUGGGUUAAGUCCCGCAACGAGCGCAACCCUUAAGCUUAGUUGCCAUCAUUAAGUUGGGCACUCUAAGUUGACUGCCGGUGACAAACCGGAGGAAGGUGGGGAUGACGUCAAAUCAUCAUGCCCCUUAUGAUUUGGGCUACACACGUGCUACAAUGGACAAUACAAAGGGCAGCGAAACUGCGAGGUCAAGCAAAUCCCAUAAAGUUGUUCUCAGUUCGGAUUGUAGUCUGCAACUCGACUACAUGAAGCUGGAAUCGCUAGUAAUCGUAGAUCAGCAUGCUACGGUGAAUACGUUCCCGGGUCU